rnacentral:lncRNA from 12 species
CAUCUACAGACAAGUGCAGAGUAACUGCCUGUGGAUUGUGAGAGCAUACAUGUGCCUUGCAUGCUAUAAUGAGCCAUUAGCACCCAGCUUGUGUGCAUUGGAAAGGCAUCAGAACACUGAGACUAUUGGAAGAUAAAGGAUGGAAAAGAUAUUUACUUGGAUACAUGUGCUACCAUGAAACAUGGCCAGAAGUCAGCAUCUUCUCCCGCAGGCUGGCGAUACUUGGGAACCUGAAGGUGCUGGGUCCCUUCAUUGACAUUCAUAUUUUGGUUAUGUGAAAUUUGCUACAUUUUCUCCAUUUCAAAUGAGUCCGAAGCAGUGGUCUCUGUGAGGAUUUUCCUGAAGGCUGG